GAGAAAGAGAAUUUAUAUAGCCGAUCCCAAAUAAAUUUUUGAGGUAAAAGCUUAGUGGAGUUGAGUUGUAAAUUCACAAAGAAAACCAAUUCGCCAAAAGAUCUUAGACAAACCAGGAAAUUAAAGAGAAAAAGAGAGAGACCCCAACAUAUGUGAGACACAAAACGAAUUCAAAAACAUCGCCCUUUAGGUCUCUUUGCCUACAAAAAAUCGUGUACAUAUCCUGUUGAAUAGUAUGGAUUAGAUAAAAGCUUUGCUUAGGAUUGGACCUUAACAUCCUUGAUACAAAUAGACACAGAAACCAAACAAAAUGUUAGCUUAAAUGACUUGCCAGAUUAGCUAUCCAGGUCCAAAUCACCAUUUUUGCAAUCCAGUCAUGCACAUAACAGAUUUAGGUAAAGCACAAGCAAAUCCUAGUCACGUAUGGAGAUAGAUAUUCCAUAGAUAAGCAUAUACUGCUAUUGAAGUAGAAAAGCAAUCAAUACAAAU
rnacentral:misc_RNA from 1 species